UACGUAGGGUGCGAGCGUUGUCCGGAAUUACUGGGCGUAAAGAGCUCGUAGGUGGUUUGUCGCGUUGUUCGUGAAAACUCACAGCUCAACUGUGGGCGUGCGGGCGAUACGGGGCAGACUGGAGUACUGCAGGGGAGACUGGAAUUCCUGGUGGUAGCGGUGAAAUGCGCAGAUAUCGGGGAGGAACACCAGUGGCGAAGGCGGCUACCUGGCCCACUCUUGACGCUGAGGCGCGAAAGCCAGGGGAGCGAACGGG
rnacentral:rRNA from 1 species